rnacentral:rRNA from 1 species
UGGGGAAUCUUCCGCAAUGGACGAAAGUCUGACGGAGCAACGCCGCGUGAGUGAUGACGGCCUUCGGGUUGUAAAGCUCUGUUAAUCGAGACGAAUGGUUCUUGUGCGAAUAGUGCGAGGAUUUGACGGCACCGGAAUAGAAAGCCACGGCUAACUACGUGCCAGCAGCCGCGGUAAUACGUAGGUGGCAAGCGUUGUCCGGAAUUAUUGGGCGUAAAGCGCGCGCAGGCGGAUUGGUCAGUCUGUCUUAAAAGUUCGGGGCUUAACCCCGUGAUGGGAUGGAAACUGCUGAUCUAGAGUAUCGGAGAGGAAAGUGGAAUUCCUAGUGUAGCGGUGAAAUGCGUAGAUAUUAGGAAGAACACCAGUGGCGAAGGCGACUUUCUGGACGAAAACUGACGCUGAGGCGCGAAAGCCAGGGGAGCGAACGGGAUUAGAUACCCCGGUAGUCCUGGCCGUAAACGAUGGGUACUAGGUGUAGGAGGUAUCGACCCCUUCUGUGCCGGAGUUAACGCAAUAAGUACCCCGCCUGGGGAGUACGACCGCAAGGUUG